UCAGUCGACUCCUACGGGGAGGCAGCAGUGGGGAAGUAUUGCACAAUGGGGGAAACCCUGAUGCAGCCAUGCCGCGUGUGUGAAGAAGGACCUUCGGGUUGUAAAGCACUUUCAGUAGGGAGGAAGGUAGUGUAGUUAAUACCUGCAUUAUUUGACGUUACCUACAGAAGAAGCACCGGCUAACUCCGUGCCAGCAGCCGCGGUAAUACGGAGGGUGCGAGCGUUAAUCGGAAUUACUGGGCGUAAAGCGCAUGCAGGCGGCCUGUUAAGUCAGAUGUGAAAGCCCGGGGCUUAACCUCGGAAUUGCAUUUGAAACUGGCAGGCUAGAGUCUUGUAGAGGGGGGUAGGAAUUUCAGGUGUAGCGGUGAAAUGCGUAGAGAUCUGAAGGAAUACCAGUGGCGAAGGCGGUCCCCUGGACAAAGACUGACGCUCAGAUGCGAAAGCGUGGGGAGCAAACAGGAUUAGAUACCCUGGUAG
rnacentral:rRNA from 1 species